AUGAUGAAGAAGCUUGCUUCUUACUGAUUAGCGGCGGACGGGUGAGUAAACGUGGGCAACCUGCCCUGUAGAUUGGGAUAACUCCGGGAAACCGGGGCUAAUACCGAAUAAUCCAUUUCCUCACAUGUGGAAAUGUUAAAAGACGGUUUCGGCUGUCACUACAGGAUGGGCCCGCGGCGCAUUAGCUAGUUGGUGAGGUAACGGCUCACCAAGGCGACGAUGCGUAGCCGACCUGAGAGGGUGAUCGGCCACACUGGGACUGAGACACGGCCCAGACUCCUACGGGAGGCAGCAGUAGGGAAUCUUCCACAAUGGACGAAAGUCUGAUGGAGCAAUGCCGCGUGAGUGAAGAAGGUUUUCGGAUCGUAAAACUCUGUUGUGAGGGAAAGAACAAGUACGAGAGUAACUGCUCGUACCUUGACGGUACCUCAUUAGAAAGCCCACGGCUAACUACGUGCCAGCAGCCGCGGUAAUACGUAGGUGGCAAGCGUUGUCCGGAAUUAUUGGGCGUAAAGCGCGCGCGCGGUCCUUUAGUUGAUGUGAAGCCACGGCUCAACCGUGGAGGUCAUUGGAACCUGGGGGACUUGAGUAC
rnacentral:rRNA from 1 species